GAAUAUUGGACAAUGGGCGAAAGCCUGAUCCAGCCAUGCCGCGUGUGAGAAGAAGGUCUUCGGAUUGUAAAGCACUUUAAGUUGGGAGGAAGGGCAGUAAGCGAAUACCUUGCUGUUUAGACGUUACCGACCGAAUAAGCAACGGUCAACUUUGGUGCAGCAGCCGCGGUAAUACAAAGGGUGCAAGCGUUAAUCGGAAUUACUGGGCGUAAAGCGCGCGUAGGUGGUUCGUUAAGUUGGAUGUGAAAUCCCCGGGCUCAACCUGGGAACUGCAUCCAAAACCGGCGAGCUAGAGUAGGGCAGAGGGUGGUGGAAUUUCCUGUGUAGCGGUGAAAUGCGUAGAUAUAGGAAGGAACACCAGUGGCGAAGGCGACCACCUGGGCUCAUACUGACACUGAGGUGCGAAAGCGUGGGGAGCAAACAGG
rnacentral:rRNA from 1 species